GAAUUGUUAAGAUUUGUCUACGAAAAGUCAACAUGUCGAAAAUCACUAUUUUGGCCAUCUUUGUUGUUCUUCUUUUCAUCACUUAUGUCCUUGGACGGUGUUAGAAUCAAAUGUCCAUGGAUGAUCUAUGGUAUGUCAGAGCCUUCAUGGAGCGGCGGCUACGGGAUUUUGUAAAUCUCCAUCGGUGUGUGCAUGCAAUUAUCCGUGUUGAUAAAAAAUAGACUUUUAUGAGCCUUUUGGUUCAUUAUGUGUCACAAAAAAACUAUCUCCUUGAGUUAUUUGA